AAUUCUCAACCGCUCCAGCUGUGAUAGUUGGAUGUGGCUUGGAUAUUGGGGGUUUUGCGGGCCUCUCUGGAGGUCGGCUCCCUUGAAAUGCAUUAGCGGAACUGUUUGCGGUCUGUCACUGGCGUGAUAAUUAUCUAUGCCAAAGACAAAGGCUGCUCUCUGUCUGUUCAGCUUCCAACUGUCUUUGUAGACAACGUUAUAUAU
rnacentral:misc_RNA from 1 species